rnacentral:sRNA from 1 species
UCUCAGGAGAGGCCACAAGGCAUGGAGGAGAGCCAGAUCUGAGGCCGGAGGGCCAACGCAGCCUGCGCAUGGGGGUGAGGACAGGUGGGUCCAUCGUAGGGGGCCUGGGGCCCGCCCUUGCCCGUCUCACCUGCUCCCCCGCCCUCCUGCAGGCUGUGUUCCCCAGAGCACCCACUGCCAACACAGCCUCUACAGAAGGUCUUCCUGCUAAGGUCAGUGCCCAGAGGGGCAAGCAGGGUGGGGGCACCAAGCAGUUCUGCUAGGCUGAAUGGGCACUGUGGGGACACUCCACGUGCAUCGUGGCCAGCAGGCACAAUUGGGGUGGAGGUGGUGGCGAUGAGCUUGCCUGCCGCCAUAGAUUGGCCGGGACUCGGAGGUCACUGUUGCCUGGCUCAGCCCCUUGUCUUUCCUGACCCCUCAGGGAUGGGGCAUGGGGCCCUGGGAGGCCUUGGGUAAUGGCUGUCCCCCUCCCCAGCCCGGCUCACACACGCUGCGCCCCCGGAGCUUCCCAUCCCCGACCAAGUGUCUCCGC